CUCUUUGUUAAGUCAGAGAACCUGUCAACCUCUUCUGACUUCCACGAUCUUAUCCAUCAUUGAUAGGCUGUGCAAGCAGACCUGGAGGGGUCCAUUCCAGCUCUCGCCUUGAGUCUCUCCAGUUCAUCUUUCUCACUGCUUCGGGACCUGCCAUUCUAAAUCACAGUGUGGCCGAUGUGUCUAGAAUGACUCUGGAUGUCCACCCUUCUAAGAAAACUGCGAGGGGGAAACUCAGGCUGGAGCCGGAUGCAGGACGUUCCUACUCAUCCGUCCACUGUAAGUGCGGAGGGCCCGGCUCUCCCACUCACCAACUGUGAGGCAAGUGACUUAACAUCUGUAGGUCUUAGUGUCGUUGUCUGUAUAAAUGGAAAUAAUAGUCCCUACCUUGAAGGGCUGUUGUGAGUGAAAAUUGAGUUAGUGUGUGGCAGGUGUUUGGAACAAACUGUGUUUGAAACGAAAUAAGUGGAGUGAAAAUGUUGGUUAAUAUUACAAAUUUGCCUUCGACUCUAGAGUGCAAGCUUGGCUUUCUGAUAUGACAA